rnacentral:lncRNA from 1 species
UGUUGGGGUAGUCCUUCUUGUAGCUCACAGAGUUCUUAGCUUGCUAAGACUGAUAAUUACUUCUCUCUAGUAGAGAAUAGAGCAACUUCUGUCACAAUGGGAGCGUGGCAAUAAGAAUGACCUGUAGGCGAGUAUCAGCAUCACACUUUCCUUGUCCUGUGACUCAACUCUAAGAUAUCUUCAGCAAUAUAUUUUUACCAACACGUUCUGUAAAGUAACCACUAUUGUUUGAGGCUAUGAGAAGCCACCUUAAGAAAUGAAGAAAAUUUAGACUAUGUAUUCCACUAUAAGAGUUUCACGUAUAAUGUGAAAGUUUGUCAUUCAAAAACUUGUCCUCCUAUGGGAUUCUUUCUCCAUCUAUCCUCAAAUCAUCAGUUUCUAACAUACUGAGAAUGGCCACAGAAAUGAGAAAGUGGGAAUUGUUGUUGGAAAGUUAUUACAGGCCAUCCCAGAAUGGAGAAUUUUACUGGAGCACAUCUGUUUCCUUAAUUUGCAAAAGUAAGACUAUUACCAAUUCAGCUGCCUAAUAACAGAUUUGUGGCCAGCCUGAAGGAGAUAGAAGAGUUACGGACAUUUUGUAAACAUCUGUUUCCAGUGGCAUGUACAUUAUUUUUUCCCUUCCAUUACGAGUCAUA